AUUGAACUCUGGCGGCGUGCUUAACACAUGCAAGUCGAUCGGUAACAGGUGUAGCAAUACAUGCUGACGAGAGGCGGACGGGUGAGGAACGCUUGGGAAUCUGCCCAUCAGCGGGGGACAACCCGGGGAAACCGGGCUAAUACCGCAUACGCUCUAUGGAGGAAAGCCGGGGACCGCAAGGCCUGGCACUGAUGGAUGAGCCCAAGUCGGAUUAGCUAGUUGGCGGGGUAACGGCCCACCAAGGCGACGAUCCGUAGCUGGUCUGAGAGGACGAUCAGCCACACUGGAACUGAGACACGGUCCAGACACCUACGGGUGGCAG
rnacentral:rRNA from 1 species